rnacentral:tRNA from 1 species
GGAAAUAUAGCUCAGUUGGUAGAGUGCUUGGCUUCCAUACCCAAGGCCCUGGGUUCAAUCCCCAGCACCA